AGACCCGAAACCCGGUGAUCUAGCCAUGGGCAGGUUGAAGGUUGGGUAACACUAACUGGAGGACCGAACCGACUAAUGUUGAAAAAUUAGCGGAUGACCUGUGGCUGGGGGUGAAAGGCCAAUCAAACCGGGAGAUAGCUGGUUCUCCCCGAAAGCUAUUUAGGUAGCGCCUCGUGAAUUCAUCUCCGGGGGUAGAGCACUGUUUCGGCUAGGGGGCCAUCCCGGCUUACCAACCCGAUGCAAACUGCGAAUACCGGAGAAUGUUAUCACGGGAGACACACGGCGGGUGCUAACGUCCGUCGUGAAGAGGGAAACAACCCAGACCGCCAGCUAAGGUCCCAAAGUCAUGGUUAAGUGGGAAACGAUGUGGGAAGGCCCAGACAGCCAGGAUGUUGGCUUAGAAGCAGCCAUCAUUUAAAGAAAGCGUAAUAGCUCACUGGUCGAGUCGGCCUGCGCGGAAGAUGUAACGGGGCUAAACCAUGCACCGAAGCUGCGGCAGCGAACGUAUCACCCAAGACAACUUUACGGAGUUGACGAUUGACGGAGCGAAGCGACGUCAAAGCGUUCAUUAAAGUCGAGUUGGCUUAGGGAUACGUUCGUUGGGUAGGGGAGCGUUCUGUAAGCCUGUGAAGGUGUGUCGUGAGGCAUGCUGGAGGUAUCAGAAGUGCGAAUGCUGACAUAAGUAACGAUAAAGCGGGUGAAAAGCC
rnacentral:rRNA from 2 species